AGACACUGGCUCUUAGAUGUUCCAUCUGGGGGACUUAGCCAUCGUGCUAUGAGAAGCCCAAGUCACAGAGAGAGGCCACAGGGAUACUAUGGUCAGUGAGGCCCAGCGGAGCUCCCAGCGUUCAGCCAGCAUCCACUGCCAGCAUAUGCUAUUAAGAAAGAACAUUCAUGAUUUAUGGGAAGAGGUAAAAAUAUCAACGUUCAUAGGAGUUUGGGAGACUCCCAUGGAUGACGCUGAGAGGUUCAAGACUUCAGUGGAGGAAGUCACUGCAGAGGUGGUAGAAAGAGUAAGAGAACUAGAAUUUGAAAAGGAGCCUGAACAUGGGGCUGAAUUGCUGCAAUUUCAUGAUAAAACUUAAACCGAUGAGGAGUUGUUUCUUGUGAAUGAGCAAAGAAGGUGGUUUCUUGAGAUGGAAUCUACUCCAGGUAAAGAUACUGUGAGCAUUGUUGAAAUGACAACACAGGAUUUAAAAUAUUACAUAAACCUAGUUGAGAAGGCAUCACAGCAGGGUUUGAGAGGAUUGGCUUCAAUUUUGAAAGAAGCUCUGCUCUGGGUAAAGUGUCAUCAAAUGGCACUGCAUGCUACAGAGAAAUCUUUUGUGAAAAGAAGGGUCAAUUGAUGCAGCAAACUUCAUUGUUGUCUUAUUUUAAAAAAUUACCACAGCCAACCCAAUCUUUGGCAACUGCCUCCCUGAUCACUCAAGGCAAGACCCUCCACAAAAAGAUUUCAAUAUGAUGCAGGUUUAGAUAAUUGUCAGCAUUUUUAAGCAAUAGGUAUUUUUUAAUUAAGUUACAUUUUUGGACAUAAUGCUGUUAUUGAACACUUACUAGCCUACAGUACAGUGUAAAUAAUUUCUGUAUGCAUUGGGAAACAAAAAUUCUUGUGAAUAAUUUUUUUGCAAUAUUUACUUCAUUGUAGUGGUCUAGAACUGAAUCUGCAAUAUUUCCAAGGUAUGCCUGUAUAUAAAUCCAAGGCAUUGUAUAACCAACACAAGUCCUUGUCAUUUCGUUCAUCAAUUCUCAUGAAACAUAACAAACAAAUAAUUCUCUAAAAUCAUCCCCAAACUCUCAAAUGACCCAUUUACAACUGAACAUUAUGAUUGUUGCUAUGUGAUCAAAGUAAAAGAGAAGGUAAUAGCACAUACUCAAAUAUUUUAAGCAAGACUGCCUUCUUAAAAUUAUCUAGCUACACAGAGAUAAUUCUGGUGAGCUGGUUAUUUGAAGGAAUUUGAACUUGAAAUUUUAAUACUGGCUUUUAGUUUCUAGUUCACUUUGUGGAGACAAACCAAUCAUUUGCCUGAGGGUCUCUUAAAUUAUUUGCCUCUCUACUCUCAUCAUUAACAGACUCAAGUUCAUGUUUUUGUCUAUACAAAGGGAUUACAAAAUGUGCCUUAUAUUGCUUCCUCUGCCUACUACAGCAAGUGCUUCAGGGAUUCUCUGGCUAAGAAUUUCUGCUGAAUAGCUGAAUGGCCAAUAGGAAGGGAGAUGACAAGGCCAUUAAAAUUUAGUAGCCAGAAAAAAUGGGAAGUGUUUGGCAAAAUACCAAGAAUACCAAAAUAUUACUAUGAGGAAUUAAAACGGCAUUAUUAUAUAAAAGGGUCUUCUGAAAGAAAUUCCUGGUUUUCUUACUCAUUUAUUUUUGAAACAAGGCCUCAGUCUGUUGUCCAGCCUGGAGUGCAGUGGUAGGAUUACAUAUAGCUCACUGCAGCCUUGAACCUCUGGGCUCAAGGGAUCCUACUGCCUCAGCCUCCCCAGUAGCUGGGACUACAGACACAGGCCACCACGUCUGGCUAAUAUUUUAUUUUUUGUAGACAUGGGGUCUCAUCUCUACGAAAAUGUUGCCCAGGCUGGUCUUGAACUCCUGGGCUCAAGCAAUCCUCCCACCUUGGCCUCCCCAAGUGCUGGGAUUAUGGGCUUGAGCCACUGUGCCCAGCCUGGUUUUCUUAUUUAAAAAGUAUUUUCAAAGCAUGUAACUUAAAAUAAAAGCAAACAGCUCACCACUUUCGAUCUCCUCUUCAUUAUCGUCCUCUAAGAUGUUUGCUGGGGAGGCAGAUUCUCCAGCUUCCAUCAUGCUUCUCAAAGCUUCCAGCUGUUCUGUUAGCAAAAACACGCAAAGAGAUGGUGACAGAUGCUAGGUAACAUACAAACCCUAGGCCUUGAGAUCGACACUGAGGAGGACGUGAAAAGAGAGAAGAAAUAGAAUGUUCAGGCACCAAGGCACCAUGUUUCUAAGGUUCAGCAGUGAUCUCUCUCUCGCCAUUUCCUGGUGGUCUCGACCUUGUAAGAAACCUGCAACAACCACCUUAUAUACACAUGAUGAAGAAUUGCGGGGACAUGGGUGAAAUGCCCAAAAUUCUGGUCACCAAGUUUGAGAGGAGGUUCAGUCCUCGUGAAGGAUUUAAGGCUAGAUAACAAAAGCCCAUAAUUUGGAGAAUCUGGCACAGACCAAGGUUUACGAACAGUUAUGGGGAACUGAUAGAAAAUAGGCAGGUUGGCAACAAAACUUCAGGAAAAAAUAUUUGCAACUGAUUUAAUGGGGAUUAUAUCCUACUAUACAAAAUAAGACUAAAUAAUUUUUCUAUAAGUCAGAAAGAUAAAGGUAAACAAAAUAAUAAAAAUGGGAAAACACAUAGGGACAAACCACAAAUAGUAAUAUGCAAAAAAGGAGUUAUUGAAGACACACAAAUAAAAAAACCCCUAAGGUACCAAUUUUUUUCUAUGAGUUGGACACACAUUUAAAAAUGGCCAACAGCCAGCAUUAAGGAUAUUGGUGGGAAACAGGCACUCUCAUAUAUGACUGGUGAAGAGUCUAAGGUGGUAGAACUUUCCUAAAAGAAAGCAUAACAAACUAUAUCACAAUAUAAAAUAUAUAUACGUUUUGGCUGAAUAACUCUAAUUGCACCAAUUGAUUUCAAGGAGAGGGUUGCACAAACAUACAAAAUAACAUUCAAGCAUGUUUAUAGUAGUGAAAAUCCAUCAACUUGGGACUCGUUACAUCAUGCUAUAAUAAAUGCAUACAAUUCUAUGUCAUAUAUAUUAAAUUCUAUAUAGUGUUUCAU
rnacentral:lncRNA from 1 species